AAAAACCUAUGUUUGCCAUCAAGGAAAAGAUCUGAAUAAACGUCAAAAGGAAAAUUAUGCUAAAGAAAAAAAAUGAAAAGUGUCAAACUGAUCAUGCUUUUGGUAAAGCAUAUUCCAAGAACCAGACAACUAAAAAAGUUAAUUGUCCAGCUGUAAUUAAUGUUACCCGAAUGUACAGGAUGCCUCAGUUCAAGAUGCCCUAGAGGAGUUGCAUGGUAUCUAAAAUUUCUGUGAAACACAGUUUGAAAACCUUCAGACUACUCGAAAACUUCAGAUUAUGUGAAAAAAGAAAUGUAGAUGUAAAGAGCAGUGAUUAAAAAGUUUUAAUGACCAAAA
rnacentral:lncRNA from 1 species